CUCCUAUUCCCUCCGUUCCGAAUUACUCGUCGCAGAAAUGGAUGUAUCUAGAUGUAUUUUAGUUCUAAAUACAUCCAUUUCUGAGACGAGUAAUUUAGAACGGAGGGAGUAGGUG
rnacentral:pre_miRNA from 1 species